CGAACGUUACGAAUAACAAAUAGGUUAAACAUUAACUAAAUCAAGAAAAGGCCAAAAUCUCACCUUAUAUGGUGAAAAUCUCUCACAAGCUCUGUCACGCCCCGCGACCAACCGCCUAUUUGGACCGGGUCACGGCGCCGCCGACAGACCGCCGAACGGACAGAGUUUCCCCUGUACGUCCUAGGCGUCGCAAUCAAAACAAUCAACAAACGUUCCAACCAGGAGCGGAUAUCAAUCCAGAUUGCAAAGUAUCAAAUACAUAAAACUAACUGCUAUUACAAGCAUUCAUUUCAUACAAUAUUUUUCUUUUACAUUUACUUAACUUCCAAAUGCAAUCACAUUAUUACAUUUAAUACAAGUUGUCAUUCCAUUCUAACCCCUA
rnacentral:lncRNA from 1 species